rnacentral:rRNA from 1 species
UACGUAGGGUGCAAGCGUUAAUCGGAAUUACUGGGCGUAAAGCGUGCGCAGGCGGUUGUGCAAGACCGAUGUGAAAUCCCCGGGCUCAACCUGGGAAUGGCAUUGGUGACUGCACGGCUAGAGUGUGUCAGAGGGGGGUAGAAUUCCACGUGUAGCAGUGAAAUGCGUAGAGAUGUGGAGGAAUACCGAUGGCGAAGGCAGCCCCCUGGGAUAACGACUGACGCUCAUGCACGAAAGCGUGGGGAGCAAACAGG